rnacentral:rRNA from 1 species
GCGCCUCGUGAAUUCAUCUCCGGGGGUAGAGCACUGUUUCGGCUAGGGGGCCAUCCCGGCUUACCAACCCGAUGCAAACUGCGAAUACCGGAGAAUGUUAUCACGGGAGACACACGGCGGGUGCUAACGUCCGUCGUGAAGAGGGAAACAACCCAGACCGCCAGCUAAGGUCCCAAAGUCAUGGUUAAGUGGGAAACGAUGUGGGAAGGCCCAGACAGCCAGGAUGUUGGCUUAGAAGCAGCCAUCAUUUAAAGAAAGCGUAAUAGCUCACUGGUCGAGUCGGCCUGCGCGGAAGAUGUAACGGGGCUAAACCAUGCACCGAAGCUGCGGCAGCGAACGUAUCACCCAAGACAACUUUACGGAGUUGACGAUUGACGGAGCGAAGCGACGUCAAAGCGUUCAUUAAAGUCGAGUUGGCUUAGGGAUACGUUCGUUGGGUAGGGGAGCGUUCUGUAAGCCUGUGAAGGUGUGUCGUGAGGCAUGCUGGAGGUAUCAGAAGUGCGAAUGCUGACA